GCCGAAUAAUAUUGUAUCGUCUAGAUCUACCACAGUUUGAUUAUCUACCUACUGAAGGACAUCUUGGUUGCUUCCAAGUUUUGACAUUAUGAAUAAAGCUGCUACAAACAUUCACCUGCAGAUUUGUAACUCCUUUGUAUGGAGACCAAGGAAUGUAAUUGCUGGAUCAUAUGACUUUGGUCUUCUACAGUGACUUGGACUUCUAUCAAGGGAUUCAACAAUGACUCCAUUGACUUGGAAAUUAAGAUGCUUCUUGGCCAUUGAAUCCUCAUGCCACUGAAUUUACAGGCAAUGCAGAGGACUAUGGUGAAAUUGUUUCCUCUCUGAACUUGCAGAUUAGAUCCCAAGCACAUUCCUUGACAAGGGAUCUUGCUCAGUAAUGGAAAAUGCCUACAAGAGACCCCCUGAUGAAAAAGACUAUGCUUAGCAAUGGAAUUUACUGCCCACAUUACUUAUGGGUUCACCUGUUUACAAGGUACUUAUAUGAUCUUUAGUGAAAGCAUGUUUACUGUGAUUGGAUCAAGGCAACUGAGCACAUACAUCUCCUUCCUGCUCUAAAUUUCUGGGAAAAACACACAUACGUAACUACAGUUAAGUAGUUAGCUCUGGGAUACACGGUAUACACUUCAUGGAACCAAAAGUCUGAUGACCGCUUGAAAGACAGAAGAAAUGACUGAGCACCAUUUCCAUAGGAGAAGGUUUGCCUGAAAGGUGAAAGCAGCUACUUGCUUAGAAGCAGCAAAUGAAAAAAGGAGAGAUUUUUCGAGCAGCCUUCAGGAUUAUGGCCAGUGUAACUGUAAGAGGAACAACCAGACACAUUGCUGUGCCUCAAAUCAUCAGGCAACAGACAGAUGGACACCCAGGAGGGGACAUAAAAAAAAAAUGGGUACUGCAUCCUAUACCCAGGGGAUGAGCUGCAAAUGCAUACUUCAUCCUGUCCCCAUGAUCACUGAUGGUGUGCUGCCUUAUGCUGAAAUAGUAUUUGUGGAAAGCUCUAAAAUUAAAAUGGAUGUCCAACAGAGAAUCUCCUGGCAUUUGAGGAAAUCGGAUAUUGGGUCCAGCAAGAAGGGCAUCAAAGUCA